rnacentral:lncRNA from 1 species
CCUCAGCCUCCGGAGGAGCUGGGAGCACAGGCUCCCGCCACCACGCCCAGCUAAUUUUUGUAUUUCUAGUAGAAACGGAGUUUCACCAGAUUGGCAAGGCUGGUGUCGAACUCCUGACCUCGGGUGAUCCGCCCGCCUUGGCCUCCCAAAGUGCUGGGAUUAUAGGUGUGAACCACCGUGCCCAGCUUCCCUCUGCCUCCCUUGUAGUUACAUUUAGACACUUGUAGUUAC